rnacentral:rRNA from 1 species
GACGAACGCUGGCGGCGUGCCUAACACAUGCAAGUCGAGCGGAGAUUAUAGCAAUAUAAUCUUAGCGGCGGACGGGCGAGUAACGCGUGGGCAACCUGCCUCAUACUGGGGGAUAACACUGGGAAACUAGUGCUAAUACCGCAUAAUAUCACUAGAUGGCAUCAUUUGGUGAUCAAAGGAGCAAUCCGGUGUGAGAUGGGCCCGCGUCCGAUUAGCUAGUUGGUGAUGUAACGGACCACCAAGGCGACGAUCGGUAGCCGAACUGAGAGGUUGAUCGGCCUCAUUGGGACUGAGACACGGCCCAGACUCCUACGGGAGGCAGCAGUGGGGAAUAUUGCGCAAUGGGGGAAACCCUGACGCAGCAACGCCGCGUGAAGGAUGAAGGUCUUCGGAUUGUAAACUUCUUUGAUUGGGGACGAAUAAUGACGGUACCCAAAAAACAAGCCACGGCUAACUACGUGCCAGCCGCCGCGGUAA